UACGGAGGGUGCAAACGUUGCUCGGAAUCAUUGGGCGUAAAGCGCACGUAGGCGGUCCGGAAAGUCGGGUGUGAAAGCCCUCGGCUCAACCAAGGAAGUGCAUCCGAAACUGACUGAGCUUGAGUACUUGAAGAGGAUCGCCGGGAAUUCCCGGUGUAGAGGUGAAAUUCGUAGAUAUCGGGAGGAACACCAGUGGCGGAAGGCGGCGAUCUGGGAAGAUACGUGACGCUGAGGUGGCGAAAGCGUGGGGAGCAAACAGG
rnacentral:rRNA from 1 species